AGAAGGUUACAAGAGCGAACGGGGGAUGCCUAGGCUUCUAGAGGCGAUGAAGGACGUGGUAAGCUGCGAUAAGCUCCGGGGAUCUGCAAACAUGACUUGAUCCGGAGAUUUCCGAAUGGGGCAACCUGGCAGGUUGAAGGCCUGUCACUGACACAGUCAGAGCAAACGUGGGGAACUGAACCAUCUCAGUACCCACAGGAAGAGAAAGAAAGUAUCGAUUUCCUGAGUAGUGGCGAUCGAAAGGGAAAGAGCCUAAACCGGUGAUGUUACGGCAUCGCCGGGGUUGUAGGACUGGUUAUCGGAUCAUGUGCCUGGAACUGGAACGUUCUGGAAAGUGCGAUCACAGAGGGUGACAAUCCCGUACAGGCAACACGCGCAUGACAAGACCAGCACCUGAGUAGGGCGGGACACGUGAAAUCCUGUCUGAAUCCGCGGGGACCAUCCCGCAAGGCUAAAUACUCCUAGAAGACCGAUAGUGGACCAGUACCGUGAGGGAAAGGUGGGAAGCACCCUGAACAAGGGAGUGAAAUAGAACCUGAAACCGUUCGUUUACAAGCGGUCGGAGCGCAAGCGACGGCGUGCCUUUUGCAUAAUGAGCCUACGAGUUGCUUCUGUCUGGCAAGGUUAAGUACUUCAGGUACGUGAGCCGAAGCGAGAGCGAGUCUGAACAGGGCGUUCAGUCAGACGGAGCAGACGCGAAACCUAGUGAUCUACCCAUGGCCAGGGUGAAGGUGCCGUAACAGGCACUGGAGGCCCGCACCGGUUUACGUUGAAAAGUGCUCGGAUGAGCUGUGGGUAGGGGUGAAAGGCUAAUCAAACUGGGAGAUAGCUCGUACUCCCCGAAAUGUCUUUAGGGACAGCCUCGACUUAGCUUCACGGAGGUAGAGCUACUGAUAGGAUGCGAGGGCUUCAUCGCCUAUCAAUUCCUGACAAACUCCGAAUGCCGUGAAGUGAUGGUCGGGAGUGAGUCGCCGGGUGCUAAUGUCCGGUGGCGAAAGGGAAACAGCCCAGAUCUUCGGCUAAGGCCCCCAAGAGCAGUUUAAGUUGACAGAACGAGGUGACAUCGCAGAGACAGCUAGGAUGUUAGCUUGGAAGCAGCUAUUCAUUUAAAGAGUGCGUAACAGCUCACUAGUCGAGCGAUGACGCGUGGAUGAUAAUCGGGCAUCAAGACUGCCGCCGAAGCCAAGGACUCUAUGUAAAUAGAGUGGUAGGGGAGCAUUCCGGUCGGCGCUGAAGGUGUAUCGUGAGAUAUGCUGGAGCGUCCGGAAAAGAAAAUGUAGGCAUGAGUAACGACAAAUGGUGUGGAAACGCCAUCACCGAAAACCCAAGGUUUCCUGAACAACGCUAAACGUAUCAGGGUAAGCCGGGACCUAACGGGAACCCGAAAGGGGAACUGGAUGGACAUGCGGUAAAGAUUCCGCAGCCUGCUGUGCAGGCGAGAUCGUGACCGAGAAGUGACACUGCCGCCGUCUGACGGAAUAGACGGUUGAAGGGCGUAGGGGUGACCUGAAACCCGACAGUACCGAGCGGCUUCGGCCAAUCGGAUAGCGCAGGUAAUCAGACUUGCAAGAAAAGCGAUCGAGCGUUAAGCGUACAGCAGCCCGUACCGUAAACCGACACAGGUGGGUGAGGAGAGAAUCCUCAGGUGCUCGAGUGAAUCACAGCUAAGGAAUUAGGCAAAUUGACCCCGUAACUUCGGGAUAAGGGGACCCGACCUCCGGGUCGGGCGCAGAGAAAUGGCCCAGGCGACUGUUUACCAAAAACAUAUGGCUAUGCGAAAUCGCAAGAUGAAGAAUAUGGCCUGACACCUGCCCGGUGCUGGAAGGUUAAGAGGGGGAGUCAUCGCAAGAGAAGCUCUGAAUUGAAGCCCCAGUAAACGGCGGCCGUAACUAUAACGGUCCUAAGGUAGCGAAAUUCCUUGUCGGGUAAGUUCCGACCUGCACGAA
rnacentral:rRNA from 1 species